GUUGUGUUCCUGAACGCCUCAUUAGAAUCAUGUCUCAACUUGAUUUCCAAUGUUUGACGCAUUGACGACAAGACUGCGAGGACACUGGGAAGAAACUGACGAUGAAUAGAACGCAUGGCGAACCAGAGGAGGGGGCAAGUCUAGGGGCGACAGGAUAUGAUGCAGACACAGACGACACACAUGAUGAGAAGGACAUUUUGGAUGGGGAACCAGCUGCAUCUCAAGAAGCUGCGUCUCCACAACCGUCAGACGAGCUGGGAGUAGCUGAUGAUGAAACAGAACCAGCUGCAUCUCAAGAAGCUGCAUCUCCACAACCGUCAGACGAGCUGGGAGGGAUGAUGAUGAAACAGGAGAAGCACACAUUGCCGCCAAAAACUCCUCUACUCCGCAGGAAACAGAGCGACCGAAAAGCCCAGGCCUGAUCCAGGUUGAGACGCCGACGAAGCGCUUCAAGAAAUAACACUGUAUAAGUGUAUAAGCUGCAUGUGACAUUUGCCAAAUAAACACGUGUUGACUUGGAGUUGUUUGUGUUGUGAUGGAGACCUUUCGUUUUAGCUUAAGUCAAAGUUUAAAGAUACAGUUUAA
rnacentral:lncRNA from 1 species